rnacentral:rRNA from 1 species
AUUGAACGCUGGCGGCAUGCCUUACACAUGCAAGUCGAACGGCAGCACGGGAGCAAUCCUGGUGGCGAGUGGCGAACGGGUGAGUAAUACAUCGGAACGUGCCCAGUAGUGGGGAUAACCCGGCGAAAGCCGGACUAAUACCGCAUACGACCUACGGGUGAAAGCGGGGGAGUCGCAAGACCUCGCGUUAUUGGAGCGGCCGAUGGCAGAUUAGCUAGUUGGUGGGGUAAAGCCACCAAGGCGACGAUCUGUAGCUGGUCUGAGAGGACGACCAGCCACACUGGGACUGAGACACGGCCCAGACUCCUACGGGAGGCAGCAGUGGGGAAUUUUGGACAAUGGGCGCAAGCCUGAUCCAGCCAUGCCGCGUGUGGGAAGAAGGCCU